rnacentral:rRNA from 1 species
UACGGAGGGUGCGAGCAUUAAUCGGAUUUAUUGGGCGUAAAGGGCGCGUAGGCGGGGAGAUAAGUCAGAUGUGAAAUCCCAGGGCUCAACCCUGGGCGUGCAGUGGAUACGGGCAGGCUGGAGGCAGGCAGGGGAGAACGGAAUUCCCGGUGUAGCGGUGAAAUGCGCAGAUAUCGGGAGGAACACCGGUGGCGAAGGCGGUUCUCUGGGCCUGUACUGACGCUGAGGAGCGAAAGCGUGGGGAGCGAACAGG